rnacentral:rRNA from 1 species
AUUGAACGCUGGCGGCAGGCCUAACACACGCAAGUCGAGCGGCAGCGGGAAAGUAGCUUGCUACUUUUGCCGGCGAGCGGCGGACGGGUGAGUAAUGCCUGGGGAUCUGCCCAGUCGAGGGGGAUAACAGUUGGAAACGACUGCUAAUACCGCAUACGCCCUACGGGGGAAAGGAGGGGACCUUCGGGCCUUUCGCGAUUGGAUGAACCCAGGUGGGAUUAGCUAGUUGGUGGGGUAAUGGCUCACCAAGGCGACGAUCCCUAGCUGGUCUGAGAGGAUGAUCAGCCACACUGGAACUGAGACACGGUCCAGACUCCUACGGGAGGCAGCAGUGGGGAAUAUUGCACAAUGGGGGAAACCCUGAUGCAGCCAUGCCGCGUGUGUG